rnacentral:rRNA from 1 species
UACGUAGGGUGCGAGCGUUGUCCGGAAUCAUUGGGCGUAAAGAGCGUGUAGGCGGCUCGAUAAGUCUGCUGUGAAAGUCCAGGGCUCAACCCUGGAAGGCCGGUGGAAACUGUCGGGCUAGAGUCCGGAAGAGGCGAGUGGAAUUCCCGGUGUAGCGGUGAAAUGCGCAGAUAUCGGGAAGAACACCCGUGGCGAAGGCGGCUCUCUGGGACGGUACUGACGCUGAGACGCGAAAGCGUGGGGAGCGAACAGG